ACAUACAUACACACACGUAUACUUUUAUAUUUUCUGGAACAUUUUAUUGAAAGAACUCCGCAGGAUUCUUAUGGAAAACGGCUUUCGGAACUGCUGAGGCAUUCACCGAUGAUAAAAUAGCCAACGUAUCGGCAAAGUUAUCAGAGUCUAAAUGUCAAAAGCAGCGAAGAGAAAGUUUCCGAAGAAGACCCGAUAUUCAA